rnacentral:rRNA from 1 species
GGUUAAGCGACUAAGCGUACACGGUGGAUGCCCUGGCAGUCAGAGGCGAUGAAGGACGUGCUAAUCUGCGAUAAGCGUCGGUAAGGUGAUAUGAACCGUUAUAACCGGCGAUUUCCGAAUGGGGAAACCCAGUGUGAUUCGACACACUAUCAUUAACUGAAUCCAUAGGUUAAUGAGGCGAACCGGGGGAACUGAAACAUCUAAGUACCCCGAGGAAAAGAAAUCAACCGAGAUUCCCCCAGUAGCGGCGAGCGAACGGGGAGCAGCCCAGAGCCUGAAUCAGUGUGUGUGUUAGUGGAAGCGUCUGGAAAGGCGCGCGAUACAGGGUGACAGCCCCGUACACAAAAAUGCACAUACUGUGAGCUCGAUGAGUAGGGCGGGACACGUGGUAUCCUGUCUGAAUAUGGGGGGACCAUCCUCCAAGGCUAAAUACUCCUGACUGACCGAUAGUGAACCAGUACCGUGAGGGAAAGGCGAAAAGAACCCCGGCGAGGGGAGUGAAAAAGAACCUGAAACCGUGUACGUACAAGCAGUGGGAGCCUCUUAAUGGGGUGACUGCGUACCUUUUGUAUAAUGGGUCAGCGACUUAUAUUCUGUAGCAAGGUUAACCGAAUAGGGGAGCCGAAGGGAAACCGAGUCUUAACUGGGCGUUAAGUUGCAGGGUAUAGACCCGAAACCCGGUGAUCUAGCCAUGGGCAGGUUGAAGGUUGGGUAACACUAACUGGAGGACCGAACCGACUAAUGUUGAAAAAUUAGCGGAUGACUUGUGGCUGGGGGUGAAAGGCCAAUCAAACCGGGAGAUAGCUGGUUCUCCCCGAAAGCUAUUUAGGUAGCGCCUCGUGAAUUCAUCUCCGGGGGUAGAGCACUGUUUCGGCAAGGGGGUCAUCCCGACUUACCAACCCGAUGCAAACUGCGAAUACCGGAGAAUGUUAUCACGGGAGACACACGGCGGGUGCUAACGUCCGUCGUGAAGAGGGAAACAACCCAGACCGCCAGCUAAGGUCCCAAAGUCAUGGUUAAGUGGGAAACGAUGUGGGAAGGCCCAGACAGCCAGGAUGUUGGCUUAGAAGCAGCCAUCAUUUAAAGAAAGCGUAAUAGCUCACUGGUCGAGUCGGCCUGCGCGGAAGAUGUAACGGGGCUAAACCAUGCACCGAAGCUGCGGCAGCGAC